GUCUUUCCGGAGCUCAUUGGUAGAGCGAAGCAUCCGACUGGCGUACGGAAGACAUGGAUUCGAUUCCUGUCGGGGACU